rnacentral:rRNA from 1 species
UCGCUCUUCAACGAGGAAUCCCUAGUAAGCGUAAGUCAUCAGCUUGCGUUGAUUACGUCCCUGCCCUUUGUACACACCGCCCGUCGCUACUACCGAUUGAAUGGCUUAGUGAGGUCUUCGGAUCGGCGGUUGAUGAGUAGCAAUAUUCGCCGGUUGCUGAGAAGUUGAUCAAACUUGGUCAUUUAGAGGAAGUAAGAGUCGUAACAAGGUUUCCGUAGGUGAACCUGCGGAAGGAUCAUUAUAAAAUUUUCGUAUAUUUAUAUUUUUAAAUAUAUAAAAAAAAAAUGUAUUCAAAACCCACACGCUUGUAACCAAUUUUAAAAAAACAAUUAUAUCUCGCAUAUAAUUAAUAAUUAAAACAACUUUCAACAACGGAUCUCUUGGCUCUCGCAUCGAUGAAGAACGCAGCGAAAUGCGAUAGGUAGUGUGAAUUGCAGAAUUACGUGAAUCAUCGAAUCUUUGAACGCAAAUUGCACUUUCUGGUAUUCCAGGGAGUAUGCCUGUUUGAGGGUCGCCUGAAUAAAAAUCAAUACAUCGCCUUUGUUGGUGUUCUUGUGUCGGAAUUGAGCCGUCUUUUCGCAUGUUAAGUGGCUUAAAAUUCAUCUUUUAGGUGCGAUCAAAGCGUAUUUAUGAUCAAUUUUGAUUAAGAAUCGCGCGAUGAUAAUGUGCCAUCUCAUGUAGUACGUUUGACUUGUACGUCAGGUUCAUUCGUAUACGAUACUCAACUUUGACCUCAAAUCAGGUAAGGAUACCCGCUGAACUUAAGCAUAUCAAUAAGCGGAGGAAAAGAAAAUAACAAUGAUUCCCUCAGUAACGGCGAGCGAAGAGGGACAAGCUCAAAUUUUAAAUCUGUUAGGUUCUACUUGACAGAGUUGUAUUUUGAAGAAACGUUUUCUGUGUCUUGGAUUAGCCUAAAUCCUUUGGGAUAAGGUAUCAUGGAGGGUUAGAAUCCCGUUCAUGGUUAAUCUUAAAGAUGCUUUACGAUACGUUUUCCAAGAGUCGAGUUGUUUGGGAUUGCAGCUCAAAAUGGGAGGUAAAUUUCUCCUAAAGCUAAAUAUUGGCGAGAGACCGAUAGCGAACAAGUACCGUGAGGGAAAGAUGAAAAGAACUUUGAAAAGAGAGUUAAACAGUACGUGAAACUGUUGAAAGGGAAACGAUUGAAGUCAGUCUUACCAACGGGAAAUCAACCUUUGGAGUUUGAUUUUGUGGGCUUUGAAGAGUGUAAUAGCCUUCGGGUUUGCAAAUUUGUGCUCUUUUGGUGUACUUUUUCGUAAGGUUAGUUAACAUCGGUUUUGGAUGUCAUAAAAUGACUGGAGGAAUGUAGCUUCUAUCUUGUAUUGAAGUAUUAUAGCCUUUGGUAGAUGUGAUGUUCGGGACCGAGGAUUGCAACGGAUACCCAUUAGGGCUUUUCGUCUGAUCUCUGAUACGUUGCCUUGAUGUUGAAAGCGUGCUUAUGAUGUUAGGGUAUUACGGUCAAAAGGUUAGAACGGAUUAAAUUCGUUAAGGAUGUUGACGUAAUGGCUUUAAACGACCCGUCUUGAAACACGGACCAAGGAGUCUAACAUAUAUGCGAGUGUUA